UCGGGAAUUUUGGGCAAUGGGCGAAAGCCUGACCCAGCAACGCCGCGUGAAGGAUGAAGUAUUUCGGUAUGUAAACUUCGAAAGAAUGGGAAGAAUAAAUGACGGUACCAUUUAUAAGCUCCGGCUAACUACGUGCCAGCAGCCGCGGUAAUACGUAGGGAGCAAGCGUUGUUCGGAUUUACUGGGCGUAAAGGGCGCGUAGGCGGCGCGGUAAGUCACUUGUGAAAUCUCUGAGCUUAACUCAGAACGGCCAAGUGAUACUGCAGUGCUAGAGUGCAGAAGGGGCAAUCGGAAUUCUUGGUGUAGCGGUGAAAUGCGUAGAUAUCAAGAGGAACACCUGAGGUGAAGACGGGUUGCUGGGCUGACACUGACGCUGAGGCGCGAAAGCCAGGGGAGCAAACGGGAUUAGAUACCCUCGUAGUCCCUGAGCGGGCUGGCAAGGCGCAU
rnacentral:rRNA from 1 species